rnacentral:rRNA from 1 species
GGGCAACUACCACUCAGGGCCGGAAAGCUCUCCAAACUCGGUCAUUUAGAGGAAGUAAAAGUCGUAACAAGGUCUCCGUUGGUGAACCAGCGGAGGGAUCAUUACCGAGUUUACAACUCCCAAACCCAAUGUGAACGUUACCAAACUGUUGCCUCGGCGGGAUCUCUGCCCCGGGUGCGUCGCAGCCCCGGACCAAGGCGCCCGCCGGAGGACCAACCAAAACUCUUAUUGUAUACCCCCUCGCGGGUUUUUUUAUAAUCUGAGCCUUCUCGGCGCCCCUCGUGGGCGUUUCGAAAAUGAAUCAAAACUUUCAACAACGGAUCUCUUGGUUCUGGCAUCGAUGAAGAACGCAGCGAAAUGCGAUAAGUAAUGUGAAUUGCAGAAUUCAGUGAAUCAUCGAAUCUUUGAACGCACAUUGCGCCCGCCAGUAUUCUGGCGGGCAUGCCUGUCCGAGCGUCAUUUCAACCCUCGAACCCCUCCGGGGGGUCGGCGUUGGGGAUCGGCCCUCCCUCUGCGGGGGCCGUCUCCGAAAUACAGUGGCGGUCUCGCCGCAGCCUCUCCUGCGCAGUAGUUUGCACACUCGCACCGGGAGCGCGGCGCGUCCACAGCCGUUAAACACCCAACUUUCUGAAAUGUUGACCUCGGAUCAGGUAGGAAUACCCGCUGAACUUAAGCAUAUCAAUAAGCGGAGGAAAAGAAACCAACAGGGAUUGCCCCAGUAACGGCGAGUGAAGCGGCAACAGCUCAAAUUUGAAAUCUGGCCCCUAGGGUCCGAGUUGUAAUUUGUAGAGGAUGCUUUUGGUGAGGUGCCGCCCGAGUUCCCUGGAACGGGACGCCACAGAGGGUGAGAGCCCCGUCUGGCUGGC